rfam:Pseudooceanicola marinus strain CECT 7751 genome assembly, contig: 0002
GCCACUCACCCGGGGGGUCUCGACAAGAGGCUGAGAUACUGCUGGCCGGAUUCCAACACCGCGCAGCGCAGUGACCCGAUGAACCUGAUCCAGUUCACACUGGCGUAGGGAUGGUGUCAUGGCUGCGCG